rnacentral:rRNA from 1 species
AUUGAACGCUGGCGGCAGGCUUAACACAUGCAAGUCGAGCGGGGGAAGGUAGCUUGCUACCGGACCUAGCGGCGGACGGGUGAGUAAUGCUUAGGAAUCUGCCUAUUAGUGGGGGACAACAUCUCGAAAGGGAUGCUAAUACCGCAUACGUCCUACGGGAGAAAGCAGGGGAUCUUCGGACCUUGCGCUAAUAGAUGAGCCUAAGUCGGAUUAGCUAGUUGGUGGGGUAAAGGCCUACCAAGGCGACGAUCUGUAGCGGGUCUGAGAGGAUGAUCCGCCACACUGGGACUGAGACACGGCCCAGACUCCUACGGGAGGCAGCAGUGGGGAAUAUUGGACAAUGGGGGGAACCCUGAUCCAGCCAUGCCGCGUGUGUGAAGAAGGCCUUAUGGUUGUAAAGCACUUUAAGCGAGGAGGAGGCUACUUUAGUUAAUACCUAGAGAUAGUGGACGUUACUCGCAGAAUAAGCACCGGCUAACUCUGUGCCAGCAGCCGCGGUAAUACAGAGGGUGCGAGCGUUAAUCGGAUUUACUGGGCGUAAAGCGUGCGUAGGCGGCUUAUUAAGUCGGAUGUGAAAUCCCCGAGCUUAACUUGGGAAUUGCAUUCGAUACUGGUGAGCUAGAGUAUGGGGGAGGAUGGUAGAAUUCCAGGUGUAGCGGUGAAAUGCGUAGAGAUCUGGAGGAAUACCGAUGGCGAAAGCAGCCAUCUGGCCUAAUACUGACGCUGAGUACGAAAGCAUGGGGAGCAA